GACGAACCGUGCGAACGUUGUUCGGAAUCACUGGGCUUAAAGGGCGCGUAGGCGGGUGGGUCAGUCGGAGGUGAAAUCCUGCAGCUCAACUGUAGAACUGCCUUCGAAACUGCCCACCUCGAGGGGGGUAGGGGCACGUGGAACUUCCGGUGGAGCGGUGAAAUGCGUAGAGAUCGGAAGGAACGCCGGUGGCGAAAGCGGCGUGCUGGACCCCUUCUGACGCUGAGGCGCGAAAGCUAGGGUAGCGAACGGG
rnacentral:misc_RNA from 1 species